rnacentral:rRNA from 1 species
UUUUAACUGAGCGUUCAGUUACUUGACGUAGACACGAAACCGGGCGACCUACCCAUGAGCAGGAUGAAGCGAAAGUAAAAUUUCGUGGAGGUCCGAACCCACGAGCGUUGAAAAGCUCGGGGAUGACUUGUGGGUAGCGGUGAAAUUCCAAUCGAGCCCGGAGAUAGCUGGUUCUCCCCGAAAUAGCUUUAGGGCUAGCCUCA